UACAGAGGGUGCGAGCGUUGUUCGGAAUUAUUGGGCGUAAAGGGCGCGUAGGCGGUGCGGUAAGUCACCUGUGAAAUCUCCUGGCUUAACUGGGAGCUUGCAGGCGAAACUGCCGUGCUGGAGUGUGGGAGAGGUGCGUGGAAUUCCCGGUGUAGCGGUGAAAUGCGUGAGUAUAGGUCGGAGGAACACCUGUGGCGAAAGCGGCGCACUGGACCACAACUGACGCUGAGGCGCGAAAGCUAGGGGAGCAAACAGG
rnacentral:rRNA from 1 species